AAUAACACUUAAAUAGAGUAUUUAUUUACUAGAGUUUUAUAAGAGAAGAGACUUCUGAGUAGUGAUAAAAUAUGUUGAUACCAGAGGGACUGGUAACGGCGAAGGCAUCCUUCUAUGUAAAAACUGACGUUGAGGGACGAAGGCUUGGGUAGCAAUAAGGAUUAGAUACCCUAGUAGUCCAAGCAGAAAAUGAUGAAUGUCAUAGACUAGAUAAAAAUUUAGUCUAUAAAUGAAAGUGUAAGCAUUCCACCUCAAGAGUACUAUGGCAACAUAUAAACUGAAAUCAUUAGACCGUUUCUGAAACCAGUAGUGAAGUAUGUUAUUUAAUUCGAUAAUCCGCGAAUAACCUUACCACAAUUUGAAUAUAUUAAGUUAUUACAAGCGCUGCACGGCUGUCUUUAGUUAAUGUCGUGAGAUCUGGUUAACUCCUAAAAUUAACGAAAACCCUCAUUUUAUUUGUAUAUAUAAAGUGGUUCUCCAGUAUAGUGGAAAGAUAAAAGGGAUUAAGACAAGUCAUCAUGGCCUAAAUAUUGUGGGCUAUAGACGUGCCACAUAUGCCUCUACAAAGGGAUGCUAUAUUGCGAAAUGGAGCUAAUCCCCAAAAUUGGAUAUAAUAUGGAUUGUUGUCUGUAAUUCGACAGCAUGAAUAAGGAAUUACUAGUAAUCGUGAAUCACCAUCGUCACGGUGAAUCUAAUCUCAGCUAGGUACUAACCACUCGUCAGGCGCUGAAAGGAGUAUGUGCAAUAAGUUUGGUUUGUUUAUAUAUUAAUAUACAUGAUUCUUGAUGUAUAAAUAUGUAGAUUUAAUUUUCGUAUGCAUGACUUUAAUUGGUGUUAAGUCGAAAUAUGGUUCGUGUAAUGGAAAUUGCACGGGAUUAAUAAAUUUG
rnacentral:ncRNA from 1 species